rnacentral:rRNA from 1 species
AUUGAACGCUGGCGGCAGGCCUAACACAUGCAGGUCGAGCGGUAGAGAGAAGCUUGCUUCUCUUGAGAGCGGCGGACGGGUGAGUAAUGCCUAGGAAUCUGCCUGGUAGUGGGGGAUAACGUUCGGAAACGGACGCUAAUACCGCAUACGUCCUACGGGAGAAAGCAGGGGACCUUCGGGCCUUGCGCUAUCAGAUGAGCCUAGGUCGGAUUAGCUAGUUGGUGAGGUAAUGGCUCACCAAGGCGACGAUCCGUAACUGGUCUGAGAGGAUGAUCAGUCACACUGGAACUGAGACACGGUCCAGACUCCUACGGGAGGCAGCAGUGGGGAAUAUUGGACAAUGGGCGAAAGCCUGAUCCAGCCAUGCCGCGUGUGUGAAGAAGGUCUUCGGAUUGUAAAGCACUUUAAGUUGGGAGGAAGGGCAGUAAAUUAAUACUUUGCUGUUUUGACGUUACCGACAGAAUAAGCACCGGCUAACUCUGUGCCAGCAGCCGCGGUUAUACAGAGGGGUGCAGCGUUAAUCGGAAUUACUGGGCGUAAGGCGCGCGUAAGUGGUUUGUUAGUUGGAUGUGAAACCCCGGGCUCAACCUGGGAACUGCAUUCUAAAAUGACUGACUAAAGUUGGGUAAAGGGGGGGGGAAUUUCCUGGGUAGCGGGGAAAAGCGUAGAUAUGGAAGGAACCCCAGGGGGAAGGGGCCCCCCUGACUAAUACUGCCAUGGGGUGCGAAAGCGGGGGAGCAAACAGGAUUAGAAUCCCUGGUGGUCCACGCCGUAAACGAUUUCAACUAGCCGUUGGAAGCCUGAAGCUUUUAGUGGGCCCACUUAACGCAUUAAGUUGACCGCCUGGGGAGUACGGCCGCAAGGUUAAAACUCAAAUGAAUUGACGGGGGCCCGCACAAGCGGUGGAGCAUGUGGUUUAAUUCGAAGCAAAGCGAAGAACCUUACCAGGCCUUGACAUCCAAUGAACUUUCUAGAGAUAGAUUGGUGCCUUCGGGAACAUUGAGACAGGUGCUGCAUGGCUGUCGUCAGCUCGUGUCGUGAGAUGUUGGGUUAAGUCCCGUAACGAGCGCAACCCUUGUCCUUAGUUACCAGCACGUCAUGGUGGGCACUCUAAGGAGACUGCCGGUGACAAACCGGAGGAAGGUGGGGAUGACGUCAAGUCAUCAUGGCCCUUACGGCCUGGGCUACACACGUGCUACAAUGGUCGGUACAGAGGGUUGCCAAGCCGCGAGGUGGAGCUAAUCCCACAAAACCGAUCGUAGUCCGGAUCGCAGUCUGCAACUCGACUGCGUGAAGUCGGAAUCGCUAGUAAUCGCGAAUCAGAAUGUCGCGGUGAAUACGUUCCCGGGCCU